AGAGUUUGAUCCUGGCUCAGGAUGAACGCUGGCGGCGUGCCUAACACAUGCAAGUCGAACGAAUAACCCGCCUUCGGGCGGUCAUAGAGUGGCGAACGGGUGAGUAACACGUGACCAACCUGCCCCGCACCCCGGGACAACCGCCGGAAACGGCGGCUAAUACCGGAUACUCCGGGCCUCGCGCAUGCGCGGCCCGGGAAAGCCCAGACGGUGCGGGAUGGGGUCGCGGCCCAUUAGGUAGUAGGCGGGGCAACGGCCCACCUAGCCUGCGAUGGGUAGCCGGCCUGAGAGGGCGAUCGGCCACAUUGGGACUGAGAUACGGCCCAGACUCCUACGGGAGGCAGCAGUGGGGAAUAUUGCGCAAUGGGGGCAACCCUGACGCAGCAACGCCGCGUGCGGGACGAAGGCCUUCGGGUUGUAAACCGCUUUCAGCAGGGAAGAACCAUGACGGUACCUGCAGAAGAAGCCCCGGCUAACUACGUG
rnacentral:rRNA from 1 species